rnacentral:lncRNA from 1 species
AAACAUCUCAGGAUACAAAUCAUAAAGUAGACUAAUUUAUUUAUAGAGGUUUUAAAUUCAUGGCUUUUGGUUGACUCUAUAAAGGUUUCACGAAAAAAACAGAUGUACUGUUUUAAGAUCUUUUAAUAUUUUCAUGCAAAUUCUGAAGAAAAAAAAAAAAGAAUUUGCCUACCUACCUACCCACACCCAGUCAUCAUGGGUCGGGUUUGGGCAAACUGAAAUAUUUUUAAUUGUGGCC